rnacentral:misc_RNA from 1 species
GAUGAAGAACGUAGCGAAAUGCGAUAAGUAAUGUGAAUUGCAGAAUUCAGUGAAUCAUCGAAUCUUUGAACGCAUCUUGCGCUCCUUGGUAUUCUGAGGAGCAUGCCUGUUUGAGUGUCAUUAAAUUCUCAACUACACUGACUUUGAAUUGGUGUGGCUUGGAUUUGGGGGGAAAAUUGUUGUGGGCUUUUUGUAUAGUCUGCUCCCCCGAAAUUGAUUAGCGGUACCUUUGUGGAACUGUCUACAGGUGUGAUAAUUAUCUACAUCUUAGACAUCUGCUGGAAUGCUGCUUUCUAAACCUUACUUGUAUUGACAAUCUUGACCUCAAAUCAGGUAGGACUACCCGCUGAACUUAAGCAUAUCAAUAAGCGGAGGA